AUCAGGAACAUCAUUAGCAUCCAAGGUUAUAGGCAGGCCUUGCUUUCUCUACUGCAGAAAGCCCCCGACGAUCCUAUUGUUCCUGAUCAUGCCAUUUUACGCACAACCCAGUUGCAUCAGGAAAUUAAAGGCUUGGAAGAGUUGUCUAAUAGUGGGCUGCUGCAACCUCUUCCUGCUCAAGCGGAUGCGCAGCUUGCUGACUAUGUUCAGCUUUUUCCGCCUCCUUAACUUUGCAACCAGGGAGUACCUCAGAUGUGCUGAUCAAAGCAUUUUUAUUCAGAUGGCAAGGCCUAUAGUCUGCUGUCUAGUCUGGCGGACUCGGGAGAGAUACCAUGGCCUAAGCAUGCAGAGAGCUUUAAGGCAAUAUCAUUAUGAUUCGGAAUCACAGAUACUCCGCUUGAGCAGAAGCGCCGGGGGUUGAAGUUCGAUCCCUGUUCAUUGAUCCGGCUCGUGGACAGUCGAGGAGGUUGCUCAUCCUUUCCCGCGGUGCAAGCGCCUUCGUUAACUUAAUCUCUUUGCACCCGCCGGCAAUGACAUUCAUACACCACUCGAAGCCAAUAGCUGAAAUGAGUUGGAAGAGCAUCGGUUUAAAGGAGUCCGAUUCCGUGCAAGGUUGGUGGCUUCAGCUUCUGCUACAGCUCCGCUGUACAGCUUUGCUUGAUGCUGCACAAUCCUCUGUGGUUGCUGGAAAUGUUAUCAAUAGUUUUGAAGUUACCAGCUAAUUGAAGCAUUUCGCGCGAGAAUUACCGCACGUCGCAAUGACACGUGACAUAACAUAGCAAAUCAAUCAAAGGCGAGUGAUUUCAAUAUCGAAAUG